CUUACCCACCUUUGACAUGUACGGAAUUUGCCAGAGAUGGCUUAGUGCUCGAAAGAGAACCGUAACACAGGUGCUGCAUGGCUGUCGUCAGCUCGUGUCGUGAGAUGUUGGGUUAAGUCCCGCAACGAGCGCAACCCUUGUCAUUAGUUGCUACAUUCAGUUGGGCACUCUAAUGAGACUGCCGGUGACAAACCGGAGGAAGGUGGGGAUGACGUCAAGUCCUCAUGGCCCUUAUAGGUGGGGCUACACACGUCAUACAAUGGCCGGUACAAAGGGUCGCAAACCCGCGAGGGGGAGCCAAUCCAUCAAAGCCGGUCGUAGUCCGGAUCGCAGUCUGCAACUCGACUGCGUGAAGUCGGAAUCGCUAGUAAUCGUGGAUCAGCAUGUCACGGUGAAUACGUUCCCGGGUCUUGUACACACCGCCCGUCACACCAUGGGAGCGGGUCUCGCCAGAAGUAGUUAGCCUAACCGCAAGGAGGGCGAUUACCACGGCGGGGUUCGUGACUGGGGUGAAGUCGUAAC
rnacentral:rRNA from 1 species